CAACCCUCAAGCCCUCGGGUUUGGUGUUGGGGAUCGGCGAGCCUUUCUGGCAAGCCGGCCCCGAAAUCUAGUGGCGGUCUCGCUGCAGCCUCCAUUGCGUAGUAGUAAAACCCUCGCAACUGGAACGCGGCGCGGCCAAGCCGUUAAACCCCCAACUUCUGAA
rnacentral:misc_RNA from 2 species